rnacentral:rRNA from 1 species
UAGGGAAUCUUCGGCAAUGGGGGGAACCCUGACCGAGCAACGCCGCGUGAGUGAAGAAGGUUUUCGGAUCGUAAAGCUCUGUUGUUAAGGAAGAACGAGUGUGAGAAUGGAAAGUUCAUACUGUGACGGUACUUAACCAGAAAGGGACGGCUAACUACGUGCCAGCAGCCGCGGUAAUACGUAGGUCCCGAGCGUUGUCCGGAUUUAUUGGGCGUAAAGCGAGCGCAGGCGGUUAGAUAAGUCUGAAGUUAAAGGCAGUGGCUCAACCAUUGUAGGCUUUGGAAACUGUUUAACUUGAGUGCAGAAGGGGAGAGUGGAAUUCCAUGUGUAGCGGUGAAAUGCGUAGAUAUAUGGGGGAACACCGGUGGCGAAAGCGGCUCUCUGGUCUGUAACUGACGCUGAGGCUCGAAAGCGUGGGGAGCGAACAGG